GGGUGGUAAUGCCGGAUGCUCCAGUUGAUCGCAUGGUCUUCUGGGAAAGCUUUCGCGGUAUGGGAUGGGGUCGCGUCCUAUCAGCUUGACGGCGGGGUAACGGCCCACCGUGGCUUCGACGGGUAGCCGGCCUGAGAGGGCGACCGGCCACAUUGGGACUGAGAUACGGCCCAGACUCCUACGGGAGGCAGCAGUGGGGAAUAUUGCACAAUGGGCGCAAGCCUGAUGCAGCGACGCCGCGUGAGGGAUGGAGGCCUUCGGGUUGUAAACCUCUUUUAUCGGGGAGCAAGCGAGAGUGAGUUUACCCGUUGAAUAAGCACCGGCUAACUACGUGCCAGCAGCCGCGGUAAUACGUAGGGUGCAAGCGUUAUCCGGAAUUAUUGGGCGUAAAGGGCUCGUAGGCGGUUCGUCGCGUCCGGUGUGAAAGUCCAUCGCUUAACGGUGGAUCCGCGCCGGGUACGGGCGGGCUUGAGUGCGGUAGGGGAGACUGGAAUUCCCGGUGUAACGGUGGAAUGUGUAGAUAUCGGGAAGAACACC
rnacentral:rRNA from 1 species